rnacentral:rRNA from 1 species
AGGGAUCCCCUAGUACGGCGAGUGAAGCGGGAAGAGCUCAAAUUUGAAAUCUGGUAGCCUUCGGCUGCCCGAGUUGUAAUCUAGAGAAGUGUUUUCCGUGCCGGCCCAUGUACAAGUCCCUUGGAACAGGGCGUCAUAGAGGGUGAGAAUCCCGUCCUUGACAUGGACCCCCGGUGCUUUGUGAUACACUUUCAACGAGUCGAGUUGUUUGGGAAUGCAGCUCAAAAUGGGUGGUGAAUUCCAUCUAAAGCUAAAUAUUGGCGAGAGACCGAUAGCGAACAAGUACCGUGAGGGAAAGAUGAAAAGCACUUUGGAAAGAGAGUUAAACAGUACGUGAAAUUGUUGAAAGGGAAACGAUUGAAGUCAGUCAUGCUCUUUGGAUUCAGCCGUUCUGCGGUGUAUUUCCAUUGAGUGGGGUCAACAUCAGUUUUGACCGCUGGAUAAAGGCACUAGGAAGGUAGCACUCUCGGGUGAACUUAUAGCCUAGCGUCAUAUACAGUGGUUGGGACUGAGGAACGCAGCAUGCCUUUAUGGCCGGGAUUCGUCCACGUACAUGCUUAGGAUGUUGACAUAAUGGCUUUAAACGACCCGCUAAAAAAAAAAAAACACAAA